rnacentral:rRNA from 1 species
GGCCACAUUACACCACCCUGAAUGCACCCAAUCUCAGAAGCUCAGCAGGGUUGGGCCUGGCUGGUCUUUGGAUGGGAGACCUCUGGGAAUACCGGGUGCUGGGCCC